GACGAACGCUGGCGGCGUGCCUAAUACAUGCGAGUAGAACGCACAGUUUAUACCGUAGCUUGCUACACCAUAGACUGUGAGUUGCGAACGGGUGAGUAACGCGUAGGUAACCUGCCUGGUAGCGGGGGAUAACUAUUGGAAACGAUAGCUAAUACCGCAUAAUAUUAAUUAUUGCAUGAUAAUUAGUUGAAAGGUGCAAUUGCACCACUACCAGAUGGACCUGCGUUGUAUUAGCUAGUAGGUGGGGUAACGGCUCACCUAGGCGACGAUACAUAGCCGACCUGGGAGGGGGAUCGGCCACACUGGGACUGAGACACGGCCCAGACUCCUACGGGAGUCAGCAGAAGGGAAUCUUAGGGAAUGAACGAAAGUAUAACGGAGCAACGCCGGGUGGGUGAAGAAGGUGUUCGGAUCGUAAAGCUCUGUUGUAAGAGAAGAACGGGUGUGAGAGUGGAAAGUUCACACUGUGACGGUAUCUUACCAGAAAGGGAGGGCUAACUAAGUG
rnacentral:rRNA from 1 species